rnacentral:rRNA from 1 species
GAAUUACUGGGCGUAAAGCGUGCGUAGGUGGUUUGUUAAGUCUGAUGUGAAAGCCCUGGGCUCAACCUGGGAAUUGCAGUGGAUACUGGGCGACUAGAGUGUGGUAGAGGAUAGUGGAAUUUCCGGUGUAGCAGUGAAAUGCGUAGAGAUCGGAAGGAACAUCUGUGGCGAAGGCGACUACCUGGACCAGCACUGACACUGAGGCACGAAAGCGUGG